rnacentral:rRNA from 1 species
UACGACUACAUAUCAGGCAUAUCAAUAAGCGGAGGAAAAGAAACUAACAAGGAUUCCCUUAGUAACGGCGAGUGAAGCGGGAAGAGCUCAAAUUUGAAAUCUUCAAGGUUUUACCUUGACGAAUUGUAGUUUAAAGAAGUGUUUUCUGUUGAAGUUUUGGUAAAAGUUCUUUGGAAUAGGACAUCAUAGAGGGUGAGAAUCCCGUAUUUGACCAGUUACUUUCAGCUGUGUGAUACACUUUCAAAGAGUCGGAUUGUUUGGGAAUGCAGUCCAAAAUGGGUGGUAAAUUUCAUCUAAAGCUAAAUAUUGGCGAGAGACCGAUAGCGAACAAGUACCGUGAGGGAAAGAUGAAAAGAACUUCGAAAAGAGAGUUAAACAGUACGUGAAAUUGUCAAAAGGGAAGCGUUUGACACCAGUGUUGUUUUCUCGAAAAUCAAUUAAAAAAAGUUGGAUUUUGUGUUGUAUUGACCUUAACAGCUUGCUUCACUCUUUUCCAGCUUUUUUUAAUGCACUUUUCGUUUAACAAGUCAACAUCAGUUUCUUUUGUUGUAAAAGGGUCAUUGGAAGGUGGCUUUCUCUUCGGAGAAAGUGUUUAUAGCCUUUGAUCUCUGCAAUCGGAGAGACUGAGGUCUGCAGCGUAGAUCCUUCGGGGUUAGAUACAUUUGUGCUAAGCUACAGCUUUUCAUAGACAACUUGUUGACUAUGUUUAGUCUUGUAACUUACCCGCUUAUGCUAUUUUACCUACGCUUAGGAUGUUGAGCGCAUGUCUCUCUCU